GGUUCAGCCUAAAAUCACAUAGGCUACCCAUGUGGGAUGUCCCAUAUAAAUAGGGGAACAAAGGAUGUGUCAUGGGAUGAAGGGGCGCCAACCAUUAUCGCUCUAUCUUCUCAUCUCGUGAAUAAAUUCACCAUGUAUGAAUUAUGGCACAUGAGAGACUUCUCACAGAGGGACUCUCCUUCUUCUACAUGCCAUAAAAAUUUCAUUCAAUUUUGGUAACAAAUCAAAGGACUUCUGGUUUA
rnacentral:lncRNA from 1 species